GUCCUGUGAGUAAUUUCAGAUGGCUGACAUCCAGAGGGAACUAGGGGACAGGAGAAGAAGAAGCUGGAGCAAGCUCAUGAUCCAGGGGAAGACUUCUCGUUAGGAAGUAAUUCCCAGAUUGAGAUGCAAAUGUUGAGAAGAGUCAACCAGACAGAAGAGGAGAUGAGUGUUCCGGCAGAGGAAGCUGUGUGAGGUGGCUGAAACUUGCAGUCUUCAGGUUGAGAAUUCCUGUCCCUCUGUGUCCAGCAGACAAGUGCUACCUGAAGGCCAUGACGAAUUGAGACAAAAUUCUAACACUGCUACGUUAUUGAGAGAAAGGAUGAGAAGGAACUCAAGCGACUGGACCAACAGAACCGGUUCUUUGCAGAAGCAGAGGGGAGACCUGGACUUUGCUUUUCCUGCGGCCAUUAAGUUAACUGCCUGACCUUUGACAAAGUCUUGAGAGCUUCGCUUCGGUGCUGAAAACUAGGUUAUUCCUAAGGCUCCUUUCAAUUUUGAGAUCCUAUGACUUUAGGGAGUCGCCUCCAACACGUGAUUUGAACAGUAGAGAAAUAUCUUGCAGUCCACAUCUCAUAUGCAUCUGCAGCCACCAGACCUAAAAUCUCCAGGCAAGCCUCAAGGCUUCGAUGCUUCUGGAAUCACGAGUCCCCUUUGAAAAGGAUUUGCGAAGAACUACAGGACUUCUCUCGAGAGAAAUGGAGAGCUACAGGUGCACACAGCAGUUGCUGACAUUGUAGGGAGUCCACAGCAUCCUUAAAGCACAACCAUGGGGCCCCAUCUCCCUGCAAGAUGGAGUUUUGUUCUUGUUGCCCAGGCUGGAAUGCAA
rnacentral:lncRNA from 1 species